AAAUACUGGGAUGAUUGAGGAUGUUAAGAUCAGUGAAUGACGUGUCCCCACACAGUCGCUAAAUUCCUGCAAGUCUGAUUCAUUGCUUAUGUGUACUAAGGGCAGUUUCUCAUAUUUGGCUUCACAUAACUCGAUUAGUUUGAUUUGGGGAUAGAAAAUUAGAAAUGUUGAUCUUUUCUUUAGUUUGGUAAAUAUAAAAACAAAUUGUGUUUGCUCCCUGAAGCUGAAUGGUUUAAUAGAAAGCAGUAAGAGCUUCAAGUAGUUACCAAUAAGAGAUUCUAGUAAUUUUAACAUGCACACAAGUUUUUAAUUAUCUUUUAUUUGCUGAGUAUCUGAACUUUUUCUUUGCUUGUUGAGAGAAGGGUGUUAAGGAGAUCUGAUUGGACUUCUCUGAGCAUGAAUUGAAUUUAAGAGAGGGUAAUGACUGGGGAGUUCUUCACGAGGAAGAAGUUAUAGAAGCAACUAUAGUAGCCAGCACGCUCACCAUGGGAUGUAAAAACAAAGACACAAGGCCUUUAAAACAACAAAUAUUGAUGGUGAUUAACAGGCUUCCAUUCUUUGCUGUUAGGAAUGGUGACGAUUCUUGGUCACUAGAGACCAGUUCUGGGGGUCUAGUAAAUGCUCUUCUUGUCUCGGUGAACAGCAUGUUGGUUAUUGUCAUUUGGAUUUUCCCACAUUAAAGCUCAGCGUUGUUGGUAGACGCCCAUUUUCUCGUGGGGGAGAUCAGUUAUUUCGGAAAAGACUUCUUUCUGCAAGGCAAGGGAAGAUGCUUGGCAUUCCAAGAAACUCAUAUUUGUCUUCCAUUAAGGAAUUUUGUUGCUUCUUGAAGCUUUCACGAGUCGACCAUCUUCCUAGGGAAGAGAGAAAAGAGCAUGCUAUCUGAUCUUGAGAAAGCGUGUGCAGAUAAGAUAGCUGCUGCAGAGGUGUCGCUGAAAAAGAAGAAGCAGGUUUGAGAGGAAGCUGAAAAAUACAUAUGAUCUGCUACAUUUCAGCAGUAGCAGAGUUCAUUCAUGCUUAAAGAAGAAAUUCCCCUGUGCUGUUCCAAAUAAACAACGCCUAUAAUCCUCUGUUAGAUAUUCACAUUUCUCUUUUGGAUGUAUUUUGGGGUAUAUUUCUUCCUAAAUAAAGUUGUUGUAGCUUCAUCUUCCCAUGAAUCAAUCCCUACUGUAGAUUGGAUUAGCCAAUUAGAGGUCUGAUCUCUACCCUCUCUUCUUCAUUUUCCUUACCUCUAUUCCUUGCAAAUGGAUGCUUGUUGGAUAAGAAAUGAGACAUGGCCAUAAAAUUUUAAGCCUCAGUUCAUGUAAGUGGGCCAUUGAAAAUCAUAGGAUAUGCCCCAUGUAAGUUUUGGAUUAGAGUUUGACCCUGUUGCUUAUAGUGAGUGGGCCCCUCUCCUUUCAUUGACUUGUAUGGGAAGGAACACAUUCUUAGCAGGCCAUUGAAAGUCAUUGGCUCAGUUUCCGCUGUUGAACCUGACAUGUCAAAUCCACCUUAUUAAGUCAAUUUUCUAAGUGUAAUCUGAUAGGACAUGCCAUCCAAGCCGUUUAUAAGGUCAUCCCUACUAGGAUUAACAUAAAACAUAAAUAAAUAAAUAUCUUGAUACAAUUAAAAAUGAAUACUAGUGAGUGGGCCUCUCCUAUCAUUUGACUUAAUUAAUUUAUUUUUAUUAUUUUGUUUUGCAGGUUGCAGGCAGAGACAGAUGAUGGUUAGAUGGAGGAAUUUUUUUUAUAUGUAUUCAGAAUAUUUUCAAUAUAUUACUGUAAAUAUUAAACGUUUUUCAUUGUAAAGUAAUACAAUUUAUUUAGUAUUCAUUUUUAAUUGUAUUGCAUAACAUUUUUUAAGUUCUAAAUAUUUAAAAACAAUAUAGGUUCCAAUUCAAUAUAAACAAUCAAAUCAAUUAAAAAUAAUAAUUAACUCGGGGUC